ensembl:lncRNA
UUUGUCUGUUUGUUUGUUUGUUUGUUUUUCAAGGGGAAAACAUAAUUAUUUUUUCUUUUCUUUUUUUUUUACAGGAAAAAAAAAAAUAAUAAUAAAAAAAACCUAAUGAUCAGUUACCAGCAGCCAUCACAAUCUAUAUAGAUUCAUUGGGUUAAAAAAAAAUUAUAAAAAAAAAAAAAACCUGAUAGGAAGUUAAACAUAAGGCAUUAUGUGGAAGGAUUUUAAAAAUACACUACAGAGGAACUUGACCUGUGAGCUAGUGUUAUAUAUAUAUAUACACAUUUGUAUAUGAAUUUGAAUUUGUGUACUUCACACAUUUCCUUAUGACGAUGAUGUACAAAUAACAUCUCUAUGAACAUCUAAACACACGCAUUGUUAUCUUAGUUAAUGAGUCAUUUGAUCAGUGUCUGUGAGGAUCAUUGUGUGUCAGCUCACAUCAGUAAAUGAAGCAGAUCCUCUGAGCUGGCUUUUGGAUAUAGAGAAAUACAUCAGACUGUCUACACUGACAAUGGUUUCCUCUCUUCAUAAAAGUUUUAUAAGAGCACUGACUAUCAUCUCUGUUAUAUCUGUUACUAACAUCAGCAGCACCAAUACAACAGUCACAACAGAGAUGACCUCAGCUGCUGAUACUGACAUCAUCAACACUGAUACAACAGUCAUGCCAGAGACGAGCCCAGCUGGUAAUGUAGUCUGAUGUUCCUCUGAUGAUUGUGUUUUGACUGAAUGUUUGUGGAUCUGUAGAAUUGAACAGAUGUGUGAGUGUGCUUGCGUCUCUAGAUAAAAACAAGGAAUAAAAGAGUGUGCACUGUAAAAAGUGAUUCUCUA